UAUAGCAUUGGCUUUGAUGGGCCAUAUACAACUUCACCAGAUGCAUGAAGUGCUAGCUAGAAAUUCUGGUCUAUGUACGAUACACCUGGCUGGCAGGACAAGAAGGCAGACAAUGAAUCGUGGGAUCAAAGAGAAUGUAACUGUAGAAUGAACGUGAGCAGAUCAUGACCACCAUCGUAUGGCUCAAUCAGAGUCUGAAUUCACUGCUGCUGCUGAAGGAUGCAGAGAAGUACUCUGGUUGGAGAAGCUGCUGGACAACUCUGGGAUUAAGGAAGAAAUGCUAAUCCGGGUGAUGGAAGACAGUCAGAGCUGCAUGAAGAGCUGCAUCAAGCUCUAGCAAAGUGAGAAAAUAAAUGCACACCCCAAACACAUGGUGUGUGACCUGACUAAGAAAGGCGUCAUUAAGAUGGGCUACUCUGCCGCACCACAGAAAUGACGGUAGACAUCCUCAUUAAGCUUUUUCCAAGAGACUGUUUCCAGAACUUGCACAGCAAGAUGGGUCUUCAAGAGAGUGGCUGCAUGCAACUUCGAGAAGGGGUAUUUGAGUUUUAUUCACAAUCUUGCUUGCUAUCUAUAGCUUGAGUGACUAGUUGGGACUUUGCUGGACUAGGGUGAUUGUCUGUCUAGCUUCAGCUAUUUUUAAGGUGCAGAACUGGCUGCUAAACAGAGUCAUCAUCUGAUAGACAAGUAAUGGCAACAGGCCAUAUUCAUAAUGCAUAAUGCAAUAACAUUGCUUUUGUAGAUAGAGGAACAAUCACAAGAACAAACAUUUUGCAGCCUCAUUUUGUAUCAUUUUACAAAAUCACAUCUCAAGCACUAGAUUUAGGUAACUUAGACCUUUGGCCACCGUACUGUUUCUUUAUGGGGGUCUUUUUGCUAUAGGAACCCCCUUCCUUUGUCUUGAGGGCCCAUGUCUCUCAGGAUGACUUAACAGUAGCAUCAUUCUAUAUUUUCCAUAUUUGGUACCCAUCCUUGGUCUUAAAGACAUGCUCCCAGGUCUGGGUUCUUAUGAAUAGUCUUACAAAAAACUAUUUGGAACGGGCUCUACCCAAACUUGAGUAGAGGAUGGUUCAAGUUAAUUCUUUUCCAGGUACCAAAUACAAUCCCAUCAUUACUUCUCUGUCAUAGACCUUUGCAGAAUAUAACCCACCAUGACAGUACAAAUUGAGGAGAUUAAGCCAUCAGAUGUAAUAGAUAUUAGCCAACUCAGGCCUUUCUGCAUUAGAAACGUUGCCUAGAUUGGGACCCUUAUUGUGAAAAAUUGUUAAAAAAACCAAAACCUGAUGAAAAGAAGGAGAGAGAGAAAUGAGUAAAUCUUGUAGUGAGUCUUAUUUUUAUUUAUGAACACUAUACAGUUUUGACACAUCAGGGUUUUCUCUAUGCAUCGGAAUUAAGGACACUUUGUCUCACAGACUGGCUACUGAUGAGUUCUGAUGGCAGUCACAAACUACGUUUUCUCUCCGAAAAACUGCAAACUCUGUGUGCCUUGUAUAAGUUUCCUGGUGGCAGGGAGAGAAACCACACCUCCAUUUUAUGACAUUCAUACAAGCAGCUGGAAUGUCUGAUACUGAAGACGAAGAAAAUGAAGGACACUUACAGAGCCCUUCAGCAAGAACCUGUUAUAUAUACGGAACACAUUGUGAGAGCGAAGGGAUGAGCUCUGAAUGCAGCCACACAGCUUACUUUAGCUUAAACAGAGUGACAAGUAUAUUACCGUGCAGGCUAUCAAUAACAUAUCUAAAUGCAUCAGAUAAGCCAGGUACAGCUGGUCAUGUAGGUCCUCUGAUGAUAAGAGGGUAAUAUUGCCCUGUGAUGCAGAGUUACAACCAAGCCACACUGCCUUAUUCCUUUGAAUGUCCUCAGCUGACAUAUCCAGUCAUCUUUAUCUGGCUUAAUGAACUGCAGGCUGGCAGCGUAACAAGCAGUGGUGCUGGAGAUGUCUUCCUCUCCUGCCUCCAACUGUACGUAACAACUGAUACAGAUACGCAAGGAAAAAAUCAAUAUCCAUUUUUGAAAACAGCAGUGGCAAGUUGCUUUUUAUAGAACACUGUCCCACUUGCAUCUGUCUUUAUU